rnacentral:rRNA from 2 species
AUGAUGUUAGGUGCUUGCAUUUAACUGAUUUAACAUUGAGACGAGUGGCGAACUGGUGAGUAACACGUGGGUAACCUGCCCUGAAGUGGGGGAUAACACUUGGAAACAGGUGCUAAUACCGCAUAACAACGAAAACCACAUGGUUUUCGUUUGAAAGAUGGCUUCGGCUGUCACUUUUGGAUGGACCCGCGGCGUAUUAGCUUGUUGGUGAGGUAACGGCUCACCAAGGCCAUGAUACGUAGCCGACCUGAGAGGGUAAUCGGCCACAUUGGGACUGAGACACGGCCCAAACUCCUACGGGAGGCAGCAGUAGGGAAUCUUCCACAAUGGACGAAAGUCUGAUGGAGCAACGCCGCGUGAGUGAUGAAGGGUUUCGGCUCGUAAAACUCUGUUGUUGGAGAAGAACAGGUGAUAGAGUAACUGUUAUCAUCUUGACGGUAUCCAACCAGAAAGCCACGGCUAACUACGUGCCAGCAGCCGCGGUAAUACGUAGGUGGCAAGCGUUGUCCGGAUUUAUUGGGCGUAAAGCGAGCGCAGGCGGUUUUUUAGGUCUGAUGUGAAAGCCUUCGGCUUAACCGGAGAAGGGCAUCGGAAACCGGGAGACUUGAGUGCAGAAGAGGACAGUGGAACUCCAUGUGUAGCGGUGAAAUGCGUAGAUAUAUGGAAGAACACCAGUGGCGAAGGCGGCUGUCUGGUCUGUAACUGACGCUGAGGCUCGAAAGCAUGGGUAGCGAACAGGAUUAGAUACCCUGGUAGUCCAUGCCGUAAACGAUGAGUGCUAAGUGUUGGAGGGUUUCCGCCCUUCAGUGCUGCAGCUAACGCAUUAAGCACUCCGCCUGGGGAGUACGACCGCAAGGUUGAAACUCAAAGGAAUUGACGGGGGCCCGCACAAGCGGUGGAGCAUGUGGUUUAAUUCGAUGCUACGCGAAGAACCUUACCAGGUCUUGACAUCUUCUGCUAACCUAAGAGAUUAGGCGUUCCCUUCGGGGACGGAAUGACAGGUG